AGUGGCUAACAACUUUGCAGCUCUGUCUUCAGAUGUCUUCCGCUUUCUACACUUUUUGCAUUCUUGAGCUCUUGUUUUCAGUGAAGUGAAGCACGGAGAGGAUGAAGAAAGAUUUUUCCCGUCACUAAAUGAACUAAAAGACACAGAAUCUGCUCAAAAUUAAGGUCGACUUUCAGAAUGAAGGUGAUUGUGUUGUUUGUGUUUGUGCUGGGUGCACUCUCUGCUGCAGGUGAAGAUUUCAUUGCAAAAGUCGGGGAGAAAGUCACAUUGAAGUGUGGGGUCAGCAGCUACAGACGCUCUCUGCAGUGGCAUCAUGGAAAUGACCUUCUUCAUAGUGUUGAUCAGAGAGGCUUCCCUCGCAAAGGCAGUGUUGAACUUGUGCAGAGGUCAGUCGUGAGACAGACGAAUCUGGAAAUCUCCAGUGUGAGAGAAACAGAUGCUGGACGGUUCACAUGUUCGGCAGAUGGACACGUCAUAACCAUUCACUUUCUGUGUUCUCAGGUAAACAGCAGACCCUGAAAAAUAUACAUUUACAAAUAAAUGUUCAAAUAUAACCGAACAGUGCAGCGUUUAACAUAUUAGGACAAAUAUGGUUUUGUUUUCAUUGUCCCCUGCACAUUACAUUGAUAAUCAGAUUAAUAAAAACAUCACUGCUGAAAAAUGAGGGGAAAUUAUUUUAUGUGGCUGAUGGUUCUUUUACUAUAACAGGUAAAGGAUAUGCAGCAAAUAUACAAAAUGAAUUUCUUGCACAGCAUGUCUUGUAUAUGUUUUGAAAUUUGGAGACUACAUUUCCCAAAAUCCAACUUAAUCCCCUCCUAGUCAACCUGGUGGUGGGCAGGACCACCACAGUGUUAAGUGUGGCCACCCUGCCAUUACUGGAGUCCAUCAGGAGAAGGGGAAGCAUCGGAGGGGCCACGAACAUAUGCUGGGCUCUAGAAUUACAUCCAUAGCUAUUAAAUAUUACAUAAGACACAACUAUUAAUUAAUAAUUCUAUUUUUUUAUACUAUUAACUAUAUAAACAGAAUUUUCUUUAAAAAACUACUUUAGCUUUAUUCCUUCGUUUUUUUAUUUCUUUUUGUCAGAUAAUUGAAUAAAAAGCUUACUUUGUGUUUCUAUAUGACAGUCAUGCCGUGUAAGCAAAUUAUAACAGUGACCAAAAAAACCAAACCAAACCAAACAGUCCAGGACUGCUCGUUUCUCUCACCAGCUGGGUCACUACUUAUUACCAUCCCUCUACAGUUAAAUGUUUAUUUGUGUUUCAUUUCACCAAAAAUGUUCCAUGUGUGAAAGAGUUACCACUUUUACUUUAAUUCUUAGUGUAAUAUGCUCUCAUUGUAUUUCAUCUCAUGUUAUAAAGCUUUGUCAUGUGUGUAAUGAGUUUGGAUGAAGCACCUUAUGGUCUCCUUUUCUCUUUGUGAUUCUCACUGUAUCUGUUGUUGUCUGUCUG